UACAGAGGGGGCAAGCGUUGUUCGGAAUUACUGGGCGUAAAGGGCGGGUAGGCGGCCUGCUAAGUCGAACGUGAAAUCCCCGGGCUCAACCCGGGAACUGCGUCCGAUACUGGCAGGCUUGAAUCCGGGAGAGGGAUGCGGAAUUCCAGGUGUAGCGGUGAAAUGCGUAGAUAUCUGGAGGAACACCGGUGGCGAAGGCGGCAUCCUGGACCGGCAUUGACGCUGAGGCGCGAAAGCCAGGGGAGCAAACGGG
rnacentral:rRNA from 1 species